UACGUAGGGUGCGAGCGUUAAUCGGAAUUACUGGGCGUAAAGCGUGCGCAGGCGGUGAUGUAAGACAGAUGUGAAAUGCCCGGGCUUAACCUGGGAACUGCAUUUGUGACUGCAUGGCUAGAGUUUGGCAGAGGGGGGUAGAAUUCCACGUGUAGCAGUGAAAUGCGUAGAUAUGUGGAGGAACACCGAUGGCGAAGGCAGCCCCCUGGGUCAAGACUGACGCUCAUGCACGAAAGCGUGGGGAGCAAACAGG
rnacentral:rRNA from 1 species